rfam:Asian citrus Psyllid, Diaphorina citri - Florida Strain, whole genome shotgun sequence.
GCCUAGUUAGCUUAGUUGGUAGUGCGUCUGCCUUGUAAGCGCUAGGGCGCGGGUUCGAUUCCCGCCCGGGGCG